rnacentral:rRNA from 1 species
AGAGUUUGAUCCUGGCUCAGGACGAACGCUGGCGGCGUGCUUAACACAUGCAAGUCGAGCGGUAAGGCCCUUUCGGGGGUACACGAGCGGCGAACGGGUGAGUAACACGUGAGUAAUCUGCCCUCCACUUGGGGAUAAGCUUCGGAAACAGGGUCUAAUACCUGAUACGACACAGUCUUGCAUGAGAUCUGUGUGGAAAGUUUUUUCGGUGGGGGAUGUGCUCGCGGCCUAUCAGCUUGUUGGUGGGGUAAUGGCCUACCAAGGCUUCGACGGGUAGCCGGCCUGAGAGGGUGACCGGCCACACUGGGACUGAGACACGGCCCAGACUCCUACGGGAGGCAGCAGUGGGGAAUAUUGGACAAUGGGCGGAAGCCUGAUCCAGCAACGCCGCGUGAGGGAUGACGGCCUUCGGGUUGUAAACCUCUUUCAGUACCGACGAAGCGCCCGUUGUGGGUGGUGACGGUAGGUACAGAAGAAGCACCGGCCAACUACGUGCCAGCAGCCGCGGUAAUACGUAGGGUGCGAGCGUUGUCCGGAAUUAUUGGGCGUAAAGGGCUCGUAGGCGGUUUGUCGCGUCGGGAGUGAAAACACCGGGCUUAACUCGGUGCUUGCUUUCGAUACGGGCAGACUAGAGGUAUGCAGGGGAGAACGGAAUUCCUGGUGUAGCGGUGAAAUGCGCAGAUAUCAGGAGGAACACCGGUGGCGAAGGCGGUUCUCUGGGCAUUACCUGACGCUGAGGAGCGAAAGUGUGGGGAGCGAACAGGAUUAGAUACCCUGGUAGUCC